UGCUAAUACCGGAUAACAACAGAUGAUGCCUAUCAACUGUUUAAAAGAUGGUUCUGCUAUCACUCUUGGAUGGACCUGCGGUGCAUUAGCUAGUUGGUAGGGUAACGGCCUACCAAGGCGAUGAUGCGUAGCCGAGUUGAGAGACUGAUCGGCCACAUUGGGACUGAGACACGGCCCAAACUCCUACGGGAGGCAGCAGGG
rnacentral:rRNA from 1 species